AUCAGGUGGGACUACCCGCUGAACUUAAGCA
rnacentral:rRNA from 1 species